rnacentral:rRNA from 1 species
GAUGAACGCUGGCGUCGUGCCUAAUACAUGCAAGUCGAGCGAACAGACGAGGAGCUUGCUCCUCUGACGUUAGCGGCGGACGGGUGAGUAACACGUGGAUAACCUACCUAUAAGACUGGGAUAACUUCGGGAAACCGGAGCUAAUACCGGAUAAUAUAUUGAACCGCAUGGUUCAAUAGUGACAGACGGUUUUGCUGUCACUUAUAGAUGGAUCCGCGCCGCAUUAGCUAGUUGGUAAGGUAACGGCUUACCAAGGCAACGAUGCGUAGCCGACCUGAGAGGGUGAUCGGCCACACUGGAACUGAGACACGGUCCAGACUCCUACGGGAGGCAGCAGUAGGGAAUCUUCCGCAAUGGGCGAAAGCCUGACGGAGCAACGCCGCGUGAGUGAUGAAGGUCUUCGGAUCGUAAAACUCUGUUAUUAGGGAAGAACAAAUGUGUAAGUAACUAUGCACGUCUUGACGGUACCUAAUCAGAAAGCCACGGCUAACUACGUG